GACUGAACAGCAAAGGCAUUUGCCAUCUGCCUCUGUGGAGACUGAAGACCAUGCUGCUGUAGCUAUUGACCUUCAGCAACCCCUGAGGGAGUUCAGGGUGGAGUGAGGCACUCUGUGCUCCAGGGAAUCUGGUGGGACAGGUCUUUAGAUAGUUGGAUGUUUUUAGGAACAAAUUUUACCCUCUUAGUCCUUGCAUCUCCUCAUAUCUAGAGAAGCACUAACUUCCUUCAUGGUGACAUCAGACCCUCAUGACUAACAAAAAACCUUUUGCAAAUUGAGUGCUUCAUGGCAUUGAACUCCCCCUUCACCAAAACCUUAUAUAUUGACUUUCUCCCACUGCCACUUUGGAGCAGUCUUUUCAGAGCUAUUUGAGAUGCUGCCUCUCGGGCUGCAGUCUGCAUUUUGCCCCAAAUAAAACUUUCAACUCUCAAGUUGUACAUCUUUUUAUUUUAGUCGACAGUUAUGGUGACCACGAAGGGACCCAGAGUGGACUUCCUUUCUUCGACUGGACUCCAUGAGGAACCAGAACUUUGGUACCAGCAGUGGCCCCUUGUGCCCAUCCACAUCCUUGGGGAGUGCAGACGAAUUUGAGUGGAUUCUUUACCACUGCACCAGCCGGGACACCCAUCCAAGUGACCAGAUCUACGUUGUUGUUCAGCCAUCAAGUCGUGUCCAACUCUGUGCGACCCCAUGGACUGCAGCAGGCUGGGUUUCCCUGUCCCUCACCAUCUCCCAGAAUUUGCCCAAGUAGAUCUACGAUACCUCCCAAAGAGAUUUAUACCUCUAAAAUACAAUAAUAAUUACAACAGAA